CCUACGGGGGGCUGCAGUGGGGAAUAUUGGACAAUGGGGGAAACCCUGAUCCAGCAAUGCCGCGUGUGUGAAGAAGGCCUGCGGGUUGUAAAGCACUUUCGGUUGGGAAGAAAAGUUUGGCGCCAAUACCGCCGAACCUUGACGUUACUGACAGAAGAAGCACCGGCUAACUCUGUGCCAGCAGCCGCGGUAAUACAGAGGGUGCAAGCGUGACUCGGAAUCACUGGGCGUAGACCUUGCGUAGGUGGGUGAAAUCCCCGGGCGUAACCUGGGAACUGCAUUCGAUACGACAUGGCUAGAGUAGGGUAGAGGGAAGUGGAAUUUCCGGUGUAGCGGUGAAAUGCGUAGAUAUCGGAAGGAACACCAAUGGCGAAGGCAGCUUCCUGGACUAAUACUGACACUGAGGCACGAAAGCGUGGGUAGCAAACAGGAUUAGAUACCCGUGUAGUC
rnacentral:rRNA from 1 species